UACGUAGGGUGCGAGCGUUGUUCGGAAUUACUGGGCGUAAAGGGCUCGUAGGCGGCCAACUAAGUCGGAUGUGAAAUCCCCAGGCUCAACCUGGGAACUGCAUCCGAUACUGGAUGGCUUGAAUUCGGGAGAGGGAUGCAGAAUUCCAGGUGUAGCGGUGAAAUGCGUAGAUAUCUGGAGGAAUACCGGUGGCGAAGGCGGCAUCCUGGACCGACAUUGACGCUGAGGAGCGAAAGCCAGGGGAGCAAACGGG
rnacentral:rRNA from 1 species